rnacentral:rRNA from 1 species
GACGAACGCUGGCGGCGUGCUUAACACAUGCAAGUCGAACGGAAAGGCCCUGCUUGCCGGGUACUCGAGUGGCGAACGGGUGAGUAACACGUGGGUGAUCUGCCCUGCACUUCGGGAUAAGCCUGGGAAACUGGGUCUAGUACCGGAUAUGACCUUCCAUGUAGUGUGGGGGGUGGAAAGAUUUAUCGGUGUGGGAUGAGCCCGCGGCCUAUCAGCUUGUUGGUGGGGUAAUGGCCUACCAAGGCGUCGACGGGUAGCCGGCCUGAGAGGGUGGACGGCCACAUUGGGACUGAGAUACGGCCCAGACUCCUACGGGAGGCAGCAGUGGGGAAUAUUGCACAAUGGGCGGAAGCCUGAUGCAGCGACGCCGCGUGGGGGAUGACGGCCUUCGGGUUGUAAACCUCUUUCGACAGGGACGAAGCUUCGGUGACGGUACCUGUAUAAGAAGCACCGGCUAACUACGUG